rnacentral:lncRNA from 1 species
GCCGUUCCUCCUUCAAUUUUGCCAUUACUGCUCUCACCCGUUGCUUAGCAUUAUGAACUUAUUUCUCGCAGUUUGGGUAAGGAGAAAUUAACUUGAAUGGCAACUUGAUUGUCUUAACCCUUUUCUUGAUCAAUUUGGCUAAGGGAAUCUUUCACUCAUAAUCCAUGAUCUCGGGCAUUUCUCCAAGCGAACAACGUUGCCCCAAGUAUCCCUAGCAUGAAGCAUUUCAGUAAAGGUCUCUUCCUCAGAAAAUCUCCAAUGUGGCAAGAGAUGCAGGUGUUGACGACUCUCUCACAGGAUACCCAAAUUAUUUUUUCUUUUUUCCUUUUUUUUUCUUUUUUUGUUUUGUUUUUUUGUUGUUUUUUUUUAACACAUACACAACAACGAAUACCCAUGAGGGGGACAUUAAGGUAAUUCUCGCAACGGCGUGUGAUACAUGACAUUUGCUGCCAAGAGACAUGCCAUUUAAAUCUUUCCUCUUCUGAGCUCGCAUAGAGUUGCGUUCAUUCAUUUGCCCCUUUCAUCUUUAAUUCACAUUGCAAUAGUUCACUCACGGGACAUGUGGCAUUCAAAGUACCCCUACUCAUGCGAAAGAUGAACCACAUAGGGAACACUAGUAAACAACAUAACAUCUUCCCGACCUUUAGCUCAUGACACUGAUUAAGAGUCCCAUAAACUUCAGUUAGGACAACCAAGACUGGACUCUCAAAGCAAACAUUUUAUCCUGUAAAUGCACUCAUUGCGGCGUAGUCAACAAAAUCCCUUGUACUAGGAAAAAACAUGACACCAUAGUCGAUGAGAACUAGUACAUUCACGUGUUUUCCACUUUUCCUCCUCGGUCAAUCAAUGCAAGAACCACCAUAGAUAUUCUUGAGGAAGGUCCCUUGUUGUACAUUUAAGUAUGAAUUCACUCUCCAACUUCAUAGAGGGAACUUUCAUUAUCCUUGCUAUCUGCAAAUCAGGUAUAUACUGCCCAAGGUGGUAAGAAGUGCUUCCCUUGAGGAAUACAUCUAAGGUCUCCUCAAAUUCUUCUAUUGUUGGCAUCAACAAGAAAUGGGUCAUAGUGUUGGGCUAAAACAAAAAUUGUUGUUGUCUGGACCUCCACCUCUGACAGUUGCAACAAAUUCCCACCCAUUCCUGAAUGCAUUUUUCAAGGUCAUCUUUUUCAUAUCCCUCAAGAGAUUGAUAUUGCCCCCCUUGACUUCAAUGCGUAUGCUUUUCUUCAAAAUGUCUGAACUCAAAUACCCCUGACUCAAAAUUCCAUGUUAAUUUCCAUUUUUACCGUAAUCACAACUUUAUAAUUUCUUGACUAGAACUCACAAAAUUUUGACAAAACCAUAAAAACAUGAGCAACAAAGAAAGAAUGCAGUGAUAUGUACAAGGUGCUUGAUUUUAUUAAGCAAAAGUGAGGGUUAUAAGGAUACACACAUCUCCCUUUAUGCCCUAGAGAAGGUUCAGCGCUUCAGAUUUAAAGUCGAGUAUAUGCAAUCUCACCAGGAUAGUUCCCUGAGCCUAAGGAUCAAAGGUCACUAGAGCUAUGGCCCCCUUCACAGCAUCCCCACAACAGUCUAGUAAUCAACUAGAUGAGGAGACACAAAUGAAGAGAACAGACUCUAGCUGGAGUUCUCACGAUAGCCAAACAAGAAGUACAUCCCAGAGUGACACCACUACACAACUCCUCUAAUUCUAAGUUACGCUCAGACCCGGGUAUAGGGCCUCACUCAACAGAUGCACAAAGUGUGUGUGUGAAGGGAGAAUGCAAUGCACCCAAACACUCACCUGCAAAACAACCAGAGAAUUUUCCCAGGCAGAUAUAACAUGUUUUCUAGCCUAGGGUUCAAUAUUCAACAGUUAUUGCAGUUAUUCCAAAUAUCAAGCAUAGAUAGAGAAAAGGGAAAGAAAAACACAAAGCAAAACCACAUCGAAUUCGCGCAUCUAAUUAAAUGGCCUGACUCUCAUAAGUCCCCAGUGGAGUCGCCAU